GUGGGGAAUUUUGGACAAUGGGCGCAAGCCUGAUCCAGCAAUGCCGCGUGCAGGAAGAAGGCCUUCGGGUUGUAAACUGCUUUUGUACGGAACGAAACGGUCCGGGUUAAUACCCUGGGCUAAUGACGGUACCGUAAGAAUAAGCACCGGCUAACUACGUGCCAGCAGCCGCGGUAAUACGUAGGGUGCAAGCGUUAAUCGGAAUUACUGGGCGUAAAGCGUGCGCAGGCGGUUUUGUAAGACAGGCGUGAAAUCCCCGGGCUCAACCUGGGAAUUGCGCUUGUGACUGCAAGGCUGGAGUGCGGCAGAGGGGGAUGGAAUUCCGCGUGUAGCAGUGAAAUGCGUAGAUAUGCGGAGGAACACCGAUGGCGAAGGCAAUCCCCUGGGCCUGCACUGACGCUCAUGCACGAAAGCGUGGGGAGUAAACAGGAUUAGAUACCCUUGUAGUCC
rnacentral:rRNA from 1 species